rnacentral:rRNA from 1 species
ACGAACGCUGGCGGCGUGCCUAACACAUGCAAGUCGAGCGGGGUCCAACCAGUGGCAACACUGGGGAAGACCUAGCGGCGAACGGGUGAGUAACACGUGAGAAACCUGCCCUGAACUCUGGGAUAACCCGAGGAAACUCGAGCUAAUACCGGAUGCCCCCACCGGGUCGCAUGGCCUGGUGAGGAAAGAUUUAUCGGUUCAGGAGGGUCUCGCGGCCUAUCAGCUAGUUGGCGGGGUAACGGCCCACCAAGGCAUCGACGGGUAGCUGGUCUGAGAGGACGAUCAGCCACACUGGGACUGAGACACGGCCCAGACUCCUACGGGAGGCAGCAGUGGGGAAUAUUGCGCAAUGGGCGAAAGCCUGACGCAGCAACGCCGCGUGCGGGAUGAAGGCCUUCGGGUUGUAAACCGCUUUCAGUGGGGACGAAAUCAGACGGUACCCACAGAAGAAGCCCCGGCCAACUACGU